AGAGUUUGAUCCUGGCUCAGAUUGAACGCUGGCGGCAUGCCUUACACAUGCAAGUCGAACGGCAGCACGGGAGCAAUCUUGGUGGCGAGUGGCGAACGGGUGAGUAAUAUAUCGGAACGUGCCCAGUCGUGGGGGAUAACGCAGCGAAAGCUGUGCUAAUACCGCAUACGAUCUCUGGAUGAAAGCGGGGGACUCGCAAGGGCCUCGCGCGAUUGGAGCGGCCGAUAUCAGGUUAGCUAGUUGGUGGGGUAAAAGCCCACCAAGGCGACGAUCUGUAGCUGGUCUGAGAGGACGACCAGCCACACUGGAACUGAGACACGGUCCAGACUCCUACGGGAGGCAGCAGUGGGGAAUUUUGGACAAUGGGCGCAAGCCUGAUCCAGCAAUGCCGCGUGCGGGAUGAAGGCCUUUGGGUUGUAAACUGCUUUUGUACGGAACGAAACGGCGAGC
rnacentral:rRNA from 1 species